rnacentral:rRNA from 1 species
UACGGAGGGUGCAAGCGUUAAUCGGAAUUACUGGGCGUAAAGCGUGCGCAGGCGGUUUGUUAAGUCUGUUGUGAAAUCCCCGAGCUCAACUUGGGAAUUGCAAUGGAUACUGGCAGGCUCGAGUAUGGUAGAGGAAGGUGGAAUUCCCGGUGUAGCAGUGAAAUGCGUAGAGAUCGGGAGGAACACCGGUGGCGAAGGCGGGUCUCUGGGCCGUUACUGACGCUGAGGAGCGAAAGCGUGGGGAGCGAACAGG